rnacentral:tRNA from 1 species
GGUGAAAGCAAGUUAGGUUUAAGGUUAGAAGCCUUUUCCUGUCAUAAUACUAUGCUUUCACCUCC